UGGCCAUUGGACAACUUGGGCAAAUGCCUAGUGGGCCCCAAUAGCCAUGGAUCAUGACCGGCUUGGAAGAUGAAAUGGUUUCCCCAGGUCCAUGCUCAGCGAGUGCCGCCCCAAAAAACUAAAUAAGUCCCUUCCUGCGCCAGUGAGGAGAUCAAAGAUUACGGCUAGCUUCACGCAUGGGAAGAGGGAGCAAAAAGCAAUUAUUUGGGUGUAAUCCAAGUACCACCUCCAACUCCGGACAGUGAGAGCGUUG